CCAGAAGGAGCCGACGUUAGCAGCUGGACGGAAAAUACUGCUUUUUCCAUCCAGGAGCCGCGAAGACGCGGACGCUCCUCGGGCAGAGAGCACACGGCACUCCCUACCCCUUCCUUCCCCUUUUCCCUUCCCCUUUCCCGCAGCUCCCGCCCAGAGCCGCCGGCGUGGCCGAGCCGCAGCGCACUGCGCCCGGGGCCGGGAGGGGCUGAGCCCGGCCACGUCCCGCCCGCUCCGCCCGGCCCCCAGGUGCGGCGGCAGCCUCUGCCCGGCACGGCUCGGCCCGGCAGUGCCCUGCCCUGCUCCUCAAUGUUCCUCGCUUCCAGACUGUCCCAGCGCUUUCCUAGCGCCGUCUCGACUGCCCCAGACUAUCCCAGCGCUGCCGCUGCCGCUGCCCCCUAUGGAGCGAACCCCUCCGGGUGCCCCCUGUGCGAGGGUCCCCGCGGCCCGGGACAGCCACGGGGGGAGGGCACGGCGCGGGGUCCCCCGGCCGCUUCCAGCCCAGGUGCGGUGUUUGCUGUUUCCACGCCCAGUUUCCACGCCUCGGACAAACUCGCCCGGGGUGUCCACUUGGCAGAAAAUGGCCGAACGCGAGUUUCUUCAUGCGUUUGCACACUUCGUGCGUUUCCCUCCCGCAAAGUCGGGGCUGAAGCCGGGAGAUAAAGGGCAGCGGCGCGCACCGCAGUUUCCAUCGGAGAAAUCCCCGCACUCCCCCGCAGCUGCUCGGCUCUCGGGACGCCGGGACCCGCCCGGAGCCGCCGCCACCUCCCCGCGGUGUCCCCGCCGUGUCCCUGCGCCGGCACCGGCACGGGGCACCCGCAGCCCCGAGGCAGCCACGCCGGGACCCGAAGCCGCUUGGAAGACGGUUGUUUGUCGCUUUAGUUUUUGUUUGUUGGGUUUUUUUGUUGUUUUUUUGUUUCUUUCUUUCUUUCCCCCAGCGAUAUUGCAGCUUUCUCUGUCUGAAGAUUUUCUUUUUUAUCUUUUUAUUUUAUUUUCUUUCCUCUUUUUUUCCUUUCCUUUUUUUUCUUUUGUUCUAUUUUAUUAUUAUUAUUAUUUUCUCUUUUUUUCGGUUAAUUUCUUUUGACCUUCUGCUAAAAGGAAGGUAUUCGUCCCUUUUCUUUUCGCGUGAAACAACUCUCCGUGUGCCGGGGCAAAUCGAAGUCUCGGGACACGCAGAGCGCUCAGCUUUCGCGGUCGGUAUUUUUAACGACGGCACUGAAAAUCGCCGCAUUUAAUCGUGCCAAAAUGGGGGGAUAACGCGGCCAUCGGCCACCUCAGCUCACACCAAACCUACGCCAAGUUUGGGAGGAGACGAAACACUCGGCGCCGGGGGCGGGAUGGGGACAAGAAAUGAGGGACGUGGGGACAACUGCGAGGAAAAGUGCGUCCAAAAACGGAGUGGAGGAAAGGUGCCAUGGAGGGGACGAGGAGGGCGAUGGGGCUGGAGAGGGGGAGAGCUGUGGCACGGGGGUUUGGUUCGCGCCGUCAGGGAGAGCUCGGGGCUGGAGAACGAAAAGGGGAAAGAGAGCGGGCGGCCGGGGCCGGUGUUGAGCGGGAGGCUCCGGGACAUCGGCUCGGGGACGAAACAAAGAGAGGGAAAGGGAAAAAAU